CUUUUAUGGAGAGUUUGAUCCUGGCUCAGGACGAACGCUGGCGGCGUGCCUAAUACAUGCAAGUCGAGCGAACAGAGAAGGAGCUUGCUCCUUCGACGUUAGCGGCGGACGGGUGAGUAACACGUGGGCAACCUACCUUAUAGUUUGGGAUAACUCCGGGAAACCGGGGCUAAUACCGAAUAAUCUAUUUUACUUCAUGGUGAAAUACUGAAAGACGGUUUCGGCUGU
rnacentral:rRNA from 1 species